rnacentral:rRNA from 1 species
ACUGCUCAGUAACACGUGGACAACCUACCCUUGGGUCUGGCAUAAUCCUGGGAAACUGGGGAUAAUUCCGGAUAGGUCACAGAUGCUGGAAUGCUCUGUGGCCGAAAGCUCCGGCGCCCAAGGAUGGGUCUGCGGCCUAUCAGGGUUGUAGUGGGUGUAACGUACCUACUAGCCUACGACGGGUACGGGUUGUGAGAGCAAGAGCCCGGAGAUGGAUUCUGAGACACGAAUCCAGGCCCUACGGGGUGCCAGCAGCCGCGGUAAUACGAUCCCA